rnacentral:lncRNA from 1 species
GUAGGAAUACCAUGCCAGGUAGAGUCCAUGGUGAGCGGUGGUAUUGAUGUGGAGAAGGCCAGACUGUUAGGAUCUGAGUUGGAAGAGAAAUUACUGCCCAUUAAAGGGAAAGCAAAGGUGAAGUUGAAGCAAAUGAAAUGGUUGAGAUGUUGUGCAUGAGCAGCCUACCACCACAGAGAGGAGUAUGCAGACAAGUUUCACUGUGAGUCUGUAAACUUCAGAGGUAUUCACAGCAAAAAGUACACGUUCACUUUCUGAGUUAAGAGGAAUUUUCCAAUGGCAUGUAUGUAAAUCCACUCAAUCUAGAUGAGAAGUGACUAUACAGACUUGCUUUAGA